GUGGGGAAUCUUGCGCAAUGGGCGAAAGCCUGACGCAGCCAUGCCGCGUGAAUGAUGAAGGUCUUAGGAUUGUAAAAUUCUUUCACCGGGGACGAUAAUGACGGUACCCGGAGAAGAAGCCCCGGCUAACUUCGUGCCAGCAGCCGCGGUAAUACGAAGGGGGCUAGCGUUGCUCGGAAUUACUGGGCGUAAAGGGCGCGUAGGCGGACAGUUUAGUCAGGGGUGAAAGCCCAGGGCUCAACCUUGGAAUUGCCUUUGAUACUGGCUGUCUUGAGUUUGGGAGAGGUGAGUGGAACUCCGAGUGUAGAGGUGAAAUUCGUAGAUAUUCGGAAGAACACCAGUGGCGAAGGCGACUCACUGGCCCAAUACUGACGCUGAGGCGCGAAAGCGUGGGGAGCAAACAGGAUUAGAAACCCGAGUAGUCC
rnacentral:rRNA from 1 species